UGUGCUGGGCUGGUGCGGCGCGGGCAGGUUCUCCGCUCCCUGGGGAGGGGGCGUCAGGCGGGAGGGGAGAGCGAGCGAGCUCAGGCACCAGGUGGCCCAGAGCUAAUCCCGUAAAUGCCCGAACAGCUGCCCAGCGCCAUUUAAAGAGACAGGGCUUCGCCGCUGCGCCGCGCGACAACGGGCCCUGACCUCAGCGAGGGCCUCCUGCAACUGCCUAGGCCGGCUUCUAACAAAAUAAUAGGAGCCUCCUCCUUCAGCUCUGCCCGGAGGGAAGAUGGCCCUCGUGCAGCCAGAGUCCUUUCCUUUCCUGUGAGGAAUCCUAGCUGGGGCUGGCACCCACGUACUUAAUGUAUAGGGGACACAAAAAAGAAUGCAAAUCAGAAGGAAGAGAGUAGGCAGAGCAGGAAGAGCGAGGCAAGGGCUCCUUUCAAGUUGAAGGAUGCACAGGAACUGGAGGGAGGAAGCAGAUGGGGGCUGUUCUCGGGUCAUUAAUAAAACUGUUAAAUACCAUAGAGCCAAGAACUUAGCCCUGAAGAACCCCCCUGGAAACACUUGAUGAUGAUUCCCCAUUUAUAAUUCCUUUUUGAAAUUAUCAGUUAGCCAAUUUUUAAAUCCAUUUAAUGUGCCAUGUUAAUUUCAUAUCAUUCUAUUUUUUAAUCAAAAUGUGCAGUACCAGGUCAAACACCUUAGAGAACACUAUUACCAUUAUCAACCAAACUUGUAAUCUCAUAAACUAAUUUGAUAUCUUUGUUUUAUCAGGAUCUGUUUACCAUAAAAUCAUGUUGAUUGGCAUUAAUUACAUUACCCUCCCAUAAUUCUUUAUUAAUCAAGUCCCGUAUGAGCUGCUCCAUUAUCUUGUCCAAGAUCCAUGUCAGGCUGACAGGCCUGUAUUUACUUGGGUCAUCCUGUUUACUCUUAAAAAUUGACACAGCAUUAGCUUUCUUCCAGUCUUCUAGAAGUCUUCCCCAAUGUGCUAAGACUUAUUGAAAAGUCAGUGUUACUAGUUCAGUAAGCUGCUCAGUCAGCUCUUAUAAAACUCUGGAUGCAGGUUAUUUGGAUCUGGUUAUUUCAAAAUGUCCAACUUUAGUAGCUUCUGUUUAAGAUCUUCCAGAGAUACUAGUGGAAUGGAAUGAGUAUUAUCACCACAAUGAGACUAUAUCAUCUGUUUUUCUCCAUACACAGAAUAUAAAUAUUUAUUAAACAUUUCUGCCUUUUCUGCAUUAUUAUUGAUAAUUCUGUGUUUUCCAUCUAGUAGUGGACUUACAUCAUUGUUAGGAUUCUUUUUGUUCCUAAUAUAUUUAAAAAACUCCUUAUUGUUUUUAUCACUGCUGUCCCUAUAUGCCUCCUUGUAUCUGUUUGCCUCCCUUAUCAGUUUUCUACAAUUCCUAACUUCUGAUUUAUAUUCAUUACUAUCAACUUCCCCUUCUUCCAUUUGUUGCAUAUUUUUCUUUUUUAUUUAUUUUUAUAACUGCCUUCACUUCCCCUCUAAAGACACUUGUGGGAUUGUGUCUUUUUGGGCAGUUAAGAAGGUGUUCUUAAAUGAUUCCCAAUUAUCAUUAACAUUUUUCUGAUUAAAUUCUUCCUCCCAGCUGAUUUGGCUUAUAAUUGUUUUCAGCUUUGUGAAAUUGGCCCUACUACAACACCAAUUAUAUAUAUUACUGGUCUGGAGUUCAUUCAGGUUGCAAACUAUAACUGUGAUCAAGUCAUGAUCUUUGAACAUAAGUUACUAUUAAUAUUUAGUUCUGUGAUUGGAAAUAAAUGGGUGGAGGAAGAGAAAUGGCAGAAGUCCUGCAUUGCCAAUGUAAAACCCACAGGAAAGAAAGAGAGGAAUCAGAAAACCCCACAAAAUUCACCCACAGGAGAGAAGGGUGUGUGGUUUCACACAGGACAACGGAUGUGCUUUUGAAUCCCAACCUUAGAAAUCCUAGAGCAUCUGUGUCAAUGGGCUAACACCUUCAGCACUGUUACUGGGUACCUUACAGCACAGCUUCAUCAGGUGCAGCUAAUUACUAGCCCUUGUGCCCUACUCCCCCUUCAAGGUUUUGUCUAUAAUGUAGACUUUCAUCACAGUGGUAAGACUGCUGGCUGGGCCCUCCGCAAGACAGGAUUUCUCAUGUGUGAACGGCUCUAUUCCAGCUGCCAGCCAAAGUCAGCAAGUAAGUUUAAACUUUCCCCAUGUCCCCCUUCCCCCCCCCCAUCCCAGAGGUGAUGUGUGGGGUAGUCAUGUGCUCCCCAACCUUUACAUUAUGGCCUCCCCACCAUCAGGAUUUAAGCAUCGACUCUGCUAAGAGGUUUUCGGUGGUAGAAUUUGGCAUCUGUAUAAAGUUAGCAUAGAUUUACAAAAUAAAAUCUUAGAAGAGGAUUUAUUUUAUUCUUAUUUUAUUUUUAAUUUUAAACAGUAUGCUCUAUAUCUUGUCUCAUGGACAACCUUUCCCUCACAACAUACACUACAUCCCACUUUCCCAAAUCAAACCAAAAUGAAGGUGGUACAAGAAGCCAUUUACUGCCAAAUACAUAAAAAGCAAGUAAAACAUUACAGUACAUGGAAAUAAAAUUACUUUGUAGAAUACUUUAUAUUUUCCAAAUUUUCUAGAAGUAUUCAUAUAAGUAUAAUUAAUUCUAUUGAAGUUUCCGUAAUUUAAAGUAAUGAAUUUAAGGCCUGGUCUACACUAACCCCCCCCCAGUUCGAACUAAGGUACGCAACUUCAGCUAUGUGAAUAACGUAGCUGAAGUCGACGUACCUUAGUUCGAACUUACCGCGGUCCAGACGC